rnacentral:rRNA from 1 species
AACGAACGCUGGCGGCAUGCCUAACACAUGCAAGUCGAACGAGACCUUCGGGUCUAGUGGCGCACGGGUGCGUAACGCGUGGGAACCUGCCCUUAGGUUCGGAAUAACUCCCCGAAAGGGGUGCUAAUACCGGAUAAUGUCUUCGGACCAAAGAUUUAUCGCCUUUGGAUGGGCCCGCGUUGGAUUGGCCAGUUGGUAGGGUAAAAGCCUACCAAGGAGACGAUCCAUAGCUGGUCUGAGAGGAUGAUCAGCCACACUGGGACUGCGACACGGACCAGACUCCUACGGGAGGGAGCAGUGGGGAAUAUUGGACGAUGGGCGAAAGCCUGAUACAGCAGUGCCGCGUGAGUGAUGAAGGGCUUAGGGUUGUAAAGCUCUUUUACCCGGGAUGAUAAUGACAGUACCGGGAGAAUAAGCACCGGCUAACUCCGUG